GACGAACGCUGGCGGCGUGCUUAACACAUGCAAGUCGAACGGAAAGGCCCUGCUUUUGUGGGGUGCUCGAGUGGCGAACGGUUGAGUAACACGUGAGUAACCUGCCCUUGACUUUGGGAUAACUUCAGGAAACUGGGGCUAAUACCGGAUAGGAGCUCCUGCUGCAUGGUGGGGGUUGGAAAGUUUCGGCGGUUGGGGAUGGACUCGCGGCUUAUCAGCUUGUUGGUGGGGUAGUGGCUUACCAAGGCUUUGACGGGUAGCCGGCCUGAGAGGGUGACCGGCCACAUUGGGACUGAGAUACGGCCCAGACUCCUACGGGAGGCAGCAGUGGGGAAUAUUGCACAAUGGGCGGAAGCCUGAUGCAGCAACGCCGCGUGCGGGAUGAAGGCCUUCGGGUUGUAAACCGCUUUCGCCUGUGACGAAGCGUGAGUGACGGUAAUGGGUAAAGAAGCACCGGCUAACUACGUG
rnacentral:rRNA from 1 species